rnacentral:rRNA from 1 species
GAUGAACGCACAAGACGUGCCUAACACAUGCAAAUCGAAUGAAAACAAUUUAAUUAAAUUGUUUUCAUGGUGAACGGGUGAGUAACACAUAAGAAUCAGCUUUUAGAUAAGGCAUAAAAGAGUAAUAUCUUGGUAAUUCCUUAUAUGCGCAGCAGUGCUUAAAAAGGGGACUCCCGUCUAAAAACGAGCUUAUGCCUGAUUAGCUAGUUGGCGAGUUAAAAGCUCACCAAGGCGAAGAUCAGUAGCUGGCCUGAGAGGGCGGCCAGCCACAUUGGGACUGAGACACGGCCCAAACUCCUACGGGAGGCAGCAGUGGGGAAUUUUCCGCAAUGGGCGAAAGCCUGACGGAGCAACGCCGCGUGAGGGAUGAAGGCCUCUGGGCUGUAAACCUCUUUUAUCAAGGAAGAAGAUCUGACGGUACUUGAUGAAUAAGCCACGGCUAAUUCCGUGCCAGCCGCCGCCGUAACAC